GGCUGGGCACUCUAAGGAAACUGCCCGUGAUAAGCGGGAGGAAGGUGUGGAUGACGUCAAGUCCUCAUGGCCCUUACGGGUUGGGCUACACACGUGCUACAAUGGCAGUGACAAUGGGUUAAUCCCCAAAAGCUGUCUCAGUUCGGAUUGGGGUCUGCAACUCGACCCCAUGAAGUCGGAAUCGCUAGUAAUCGUGGAACAGCAUGCCACGGUGAAUACGUUCCCGGGCCUUGUACACACCGCCCGUCACACCAUGGGAGUUGGUUCUACCCGACGGCCGUGCGCUAACCUUUUGGGGGCAGCGGACCACGGUAGGAUCAGCGACUGGGGUGAAGUCGUAACAAGGUAGCCGUAGGGGAACCUGCGGCUGGAUCACCUCCUUUCUAA
rnacentral:rRNA from 1 species